rnacentral:rRNA from 1 species
CAGCAGCCGCGGGAAUCCGAGGGGGGCAAGCGUUGUUCGGAAUUAUUGGGCGUAAAGGGUGCGUAGGCGGUCUGAUAAGUCAUCUGUGAAAUCUAUGGGCUCAACCCAUAGUCUGCAGGCGAAACUGUCGGGCUUGAGUAUGGGAGAGGUGAGUGGAAUUUCCGGUGUAGCGGUGAAAUGCGUAGAUAUCGGAAGGAACACCUGUGGCGAAAGCGGCUCACUGGACCAUUACUGACGCUGAUGCACGAAAGCCAGGGGAGCAAACAGGAUUAGAUACCCGAGUAGUCCCUGUCUCUUAUAC